rfam:Schistosoma mansoni, Puerto Rico, WGS project CABG01000000 data, contig: 0223
GCACUACUGAGGAGUCCCAUAAUAGGACGAAACGGGUGUCUAGUGC